CCUACGGGUGGCAGCAGUGAGGAAUAUUGGUCAAUGGACGAGAGUCUGAACCAGCCAAGUAGCGUGAAGGAUGACUGCCCUAUGGGUUGUAAACUUCUUUUAUAUGGGAAUAAAACGUUCCACGUGUGGGAUUUUGUAUGUACCAUAUGAAUAAGGAUCGGCUAACUCCGUGCCAGCAGCCGCGGUAAUACGGAGGAUCCGAGCGUUAUCCGGAUUUAUUGGGUUUAAAGGGAGCGUAGGUGGAUUGUUAAGUCAGUUGUGAAAGUUUGCGGCUCAACCGUAAAAUUGCAGUUGAAACUGGCAGUCUUGAGUACAGUAGAGGUGGGCGGAAUUCGUGGUGUAGCGGUGAAAUGCUUAGAUAUCACGAAGAACUCCGAUUGCGAAGGCAGUUCACUGGUCUGCAACUGACACUGAGGCUCGAAAGUGUGGGUAUCAAACAGGAUUAGAUACCCUUGUAGUC
rnacentral:rRNA from 1 species